rnacentral:rRNA from 1 species
CACGGGGGGAGCAAGCGUUGUUCGGAAUCACUGGGCGUAAAGGGCGUGUAGGCGGUUCGGUAAGUGAGAUGUGAAAUCCUCCGGCUCACCCGGAGACCUGCAUCUCAAACUGCCGGACUAGAGUAUGGGAGAGGACAAGGGAAUUCCUGGUGUAGCGGUGAAAUGCGUAGAUAUCAGGAGGAACACCUGCGGUGUAGACGGCUUUCUGGACCAUUACUGACACUGAGACACGAAAGCGUGGGUAGCAAACAGG